rnacentral:rRNA from 1 species
UACGGGGGGGAGCAAGCGUUGUUCGGAUUUACUGGGCGUAAAGGGCGCGUAGGCGGUCAGCACAAGUCAGUUGUGAAAUCUCCGGGCUUAACUCGGAAAGGUCAACUGAUACUGUGCGACUAGAGUGCAGAAGGGGCAACUGGAAUUCUCGGUGUAGCGGUGAAAUGCGUAGAUAUCGGGAGGAACACCAGUGGCGAAAGGCGGUUACCUGGGGGUUGUUCUGACGCUGAGGAGCGAAAGCUAGGGGAGCAAACGGG